rnacentral:rRNA from 1 species
UAAUACAUGCAAGUCGAACGAACUCUGGUAUUGAUUGGUGCUUGCAUCAUGAUUUACAUUUGAGUGAGUGGCGAACUGGUGAGUAACACGUGGGAAACCUGCCCAGAAGCGGGGGAUAACACCUGGAAACAGAUGCUAAUACCGCAUAACAACUUGGACCGCAUGGUCCGAGCUUGAAAGAUGGCUUCGGCUAUCACUUUUGGAUGGUCCCGCGGCGUAUUAGCUAGAUGGUGGGGUAACGGCUCACCAUGGCAAUGAUACGUAGCCGACCUGAGAGGGUAAUCGGCCACAUUGGGACUGAGACACGGCCCAAACUCCUACGGGAGGCAGCAGUAGGGAAUCUUCCACAAUGGACGAAAGUCUGAUGGAGCAACGCCGCGUGAGUGAAGAAGGGUUUCGGCUCGUAAAACUCUGUUGUUAAAGAAGAACAUAUCUGAGAGUAACUGUUCAGGUAUUGACGGUAUUUAACCAGAAAGCCACGGCUAACUACGUGCCAGCAGCCGCGGUAAUACGUAGGUGGCAAGCGUUGUCCGGAUUUAUUGGGCGUAAAGCGAGCGCAGGCGGUUUUUUAAGUCUGAUGUGAAAGCCUUCGGCUCAACCGAAGAAGUGCAUCGGAAACUGGGAAACUUGAGUGCAGAAGAGGACAGUGGAACUCCAUGUGUAGCGGUGAAAUGCGUAGAUAUAUGGAAGAACACCAGUGGCGAAGGCGGCUGUCUGGCUGUAACUGACGCUGAGGCUCGAAA